rnacentral:rRNA from 1 species
GUGCCAGCAGCCGCGGUAACACCGGCAGCUCAAGUGGUGGCCAUUAUUAUUGGGCCUAAAGCGUUCGUAGCCGGCCUGAUAAGUCUCUGGUGAAAUCCCAUAGCUUAACUAUGGGAAUUGCUGGAGAUACUAUCAGGCUUGAGAUCGGGAGAGGUUAGGGGUACUCCCAGGGUAGGGGUGAAAUCCUAUAAUCCUGGGAGGACCACCUGUGGCGAAGGCGCCUAACUGGAACGAAUCUGACGGUGAGUAACGAAAGCCAGGGGCGCGAACCGGAUUAGAUACCCGCGUAGUCC